CAUAAUCCUAAUCUGAUAAGGCUGAAAAGUGUGUCCUUCUCUCUUCUGCCUGCGACGGCUAUGGUGACGCUAGAGUUUCUUCACCGUUACUAAAACAGUUUUAGUUAUGGUUUCUUGGUGUUUAAUCCCAAAUCUGACGCCCACUAUAUUUAUACCCCCUUGAGUUUGCGUCCUUGAAGCUCUGUCGAUUUGGGUAUAAAUAUGUUCGUAUUUCUCUUCUAGAAAUCAUCCUCUCCUCAUCACUCUUCUCUUAUCUCCUUAGAGUAUACUAAUUCACUGUUUAAUGGCUUCCUCGAGGGUGGUCUUCUCCGAUUUGAAGUCCAGCCCACAGAAUAGAAAGAAUAAAUUUUACCAGAUCCAAACUGUAAAACGGCUGCACAACGAGUGGAUAGAGAAUACAUAUCGAUGGGUCACUGGAUUUCUGGAAAUAUUUGAAGAAGGUUUCAUAAGAAGGGGACUGCAAUCAGAGGGGGUAUUCAAGAGAGGUGAAUCAGAAAAUUCCCAGAAACAAACUGGAGAAUGGUGAGUAUGACGACGCAGACGAUCAAUUCUAUGAAGAAUAUUUUGACCAUGACUUGGGCAGGGAUGAGUAUAAAGAUGAACGACACUAUGCAAGGGUAAAGAUGUUGAAGAAGAGGAAGAGAAAACUGUUAAGACGGAUGCAAAAGACAACAAAAUCAUUUCACUCAUGACAUGGAAAGGAAGUGAAAAAAGCAUUGUGCAUGAUAACGAUGAUGCAGUAAGUCGAGAAAAUCACAAGGUCUUGAAGAACAAAAUAGAAGGUCAACCUCUAUUCAUAUGUCACGGUUAGAUCAAGUGGGGAUGAACUAGACGCCAUGGCUGAGUCAUUGCCCAGGGUUAACUAGAAGGGUGGUCGGGUCAGUUACAUGAUCAAGCCAAGGUUCAUGAGCUUCAAGCCAUGUUUGCAGGGGAAGCAACAUAUAUAACCCACUACUCUACAAUUCUUGGUGCUUAGUUUAGUUGUUUCAAGGAAGCCAAUAGGCUUCUCAAGCAUUAAAAAGUGAUCCUUGAGUGUUUGUUUUAAGAUAUGUAUUUUUGGUCAAUGUGUUUAGAGAAGCUUAAUCAGUUUUGUAAGAUUUUUUUUGUUAAGAAAGAAUAAACUUCUAUUAUAUGUCACGAUUUUUUCUGGAGUAGGAAGCAUAUAAGAGAAGUGUAGAACAGUUGGUGAAGCAAUAGAAUGGGUUUAGGUCUACAAGAGGAGGAGAUUCGCAUAUGGGCUGCUCGGGUUGUAAAAUUUCCAGUGGAGGAGGAAUGUGAGGUUUUGGAUACAUGAGCAACACAGAGGAAUUGGUUAUAGCUUGGAGACUUGACAUAUAUAUAUAUAUAUAUACAUAUAUAUAUAUAUAUAUCUACAUUUAUAGACAUGUGAAUAUUGUGGAGUGACUUUUCUACAGAAAUUUAUUAGAUUCCUAUAAUUUUCACAUUGAGCUUCUGUGCUUUUUGUUUAGUCUUUGUCCCAAUUAGUAAUUUGUUAUCAGUCCUUUUUUUCUUUGCUGUAAAGUGACAAAGACAAUAUGGAACCAAAACAAGAAAGAAAGAGAUUCGUGUCCCU